AGAGUUUGAUCAUGGCUCAGAGCGAACGCUGGCGGCGUGCUUAACACAUGCAAGUCGAGUGCGCGCCUGUAGCAAUACAGGUGGCGCACGGCGCACGGGUGCGUAACACGUGGGUAAUCUGCCCUUCGAUGGGGAAUAACUCGCCGAAAGGCGAGCUAAUUCCGCAUAACAUUCCAAGGACUUUGGUUUUUGGAUUCAAAGGCGUAAGUCGUCGGAGGAGGAGCCCGCGCACGAUUAGCUAGUUGGUGAGGUAAUGGCUCACCAAGGCUAUGAUCGUUAGCUGGUCUGAGAGGAUGGCCAGCCACACUGGAACUGAGACACGGUCCAGACUCCUACGGGAGGCAGCAGUGGGGAAUCUUGCACAAUGGGCGAAAGCCUGAUGCAGCGACGCCGCGUGGGGGAUGAAGCUUCUCGGAGUGUAAACCCCUUUCGACCCGGACGAAUGCCCCGCAAGGGGACUGACGGUACGGGUAUAAGAAGCCCCGGCUAACUACGUGCCAGCAGCCGCGGUAAGACGUAGGGGGCCAGCGUUGCUCGGAAUUACUGGGUGUAAAGGGUUCGUAGGCGGUGUGGCAAGUCGGGAGUGAAAUCUCUGGGCUCAACCCAGAGUCUGCUUCCGAAACUGCUGUGCUUGAGUGUGGGAGAGGCGCGUGGAAUUGCAGGUGUAGCGGUGAAAUGCGUAGAUAUCUGCAGGAACACCCGUGGCGAAAGCGGCGCGCUGGACCACUACUGACGCUGAGGAACGAAAGCUAGGGGAGCAAACAGGAUUAGAUACCCUAGUAGUCC
rnacentral:rRNA from 1 species